rnacentral:rRNA from 1 species
CGAACGGGUGAGUAACACGUGGGCAACCCUGCCCAAAAGAGGGGGAUAACACUUGGAAACAGGUGCUAAUACCGCAUAACCAUAGUUACCGCAUGGUAGCUAUGUAAAAGGUGGCUAUGCUACCGCUUUUGGAUGGGCCCGCGGCGCAUUAGCUAGUUGGUGGGGUAAGGGCUUACCAAGGCAAUGAUGCGUAGCCGAACUGAGAGGUUGAUCGGCCACAUUGGGACUGAGACACGGCCCAAACUCCUACGGAAGGCAGCAG